rnacentral:sRNA from 1 species
GUUUGCGGGGAGUUUGUUAAAAGAAACUGGCAUGGUGAAUCCCCCUGUGCGGAGGGGCAAUCAGCGAGUAGGUAUAUGGGAUAAUCGCGGAUUCAGGUGCUGGUACUGAAUUCACCGGGAGGCACCCGGCACCAUGCAAUGGCACAUAGCGCCACUCUCCAGCCCCUCUCCGGAGGGGCUGUUUAUAUUG